rnacentral:rRNA from 1 species
UACGUAGGUGGCAAGCGUUGUCCGGAAUUAUUGGGCGUAAAGCGCGCGCAGGCGGUCCUUUAAGUCUGAUGUGAAAGCCCACGGCUCAACCGUGGAGGGUCAUUGGAAACUGGGGACUUGAGUACAGAAGAGAAGAGUGGAAUUCCUGGUGUAGCGGUGAAAUGCGCAGAUAUCAGGAAGAACACCUAUGGCGAAGGCAGCUCUCUGGGACGGUACUGACGCUGAGACGCGAAAGCGUGGGGAGCGAACAGG